ACGAACGCUGGCGGCAUGCCUAACCCCUGCCAGUCGAACGAGACCUUCGGGUCUAGUGGCGCACGGGUGCGUCACGCGUGGGAACCUGCCCUUAGGUUCGGAAUAACUCCCCGAAAGGGGUGCUAAUACCGGAUAAUGUCUUCGGACCAAAGAUUUAUCGCCUUUGGAUGGGCCCGCGUUGGAUUAGCUAGUUGGUAGGGUAAAAGCCUACCAAGGCGACGAUCCAUAGCUGGUCUGAGAGGAUGAUCAGCCACACUGGGACUGAGACACGGCCCAGACUCCUACGGGAAGCAGCAGUGGGGAAUAUUGGACAAUGGGCGAAAGCCUGAUCCAGCAAUGCCGCGUGAGUGAUGAAGGCCUUAGGGUUGUAAAGCUCUUUUACCCGGGAUGAUAAUGACAGUACCGGGAGAAUAAGCUCCGGCUAACUCCGUG
rnacentral:rRNA from 1 species